rnacentral:rRNA from 1 species
CUGGCUCAGAGCGAACGCUGGCGGCAGGCUUAACACAUGCAAGUCGAGCGGGCAUCCUUGUGGUGUCAGCGGCAGACGGGUGAGUAACGCGUGGGAACGUGCCCUUCGGUUCGGAAUAACUCAGGGAAACUUGAGCUAAUACCGGAUAC